rnacentral:rRNA from 1 species
UACGUAGGGUGCGAGCGUUGUCCGGAAUUAUUGGGCGUAAAGAGCUUGUAGGCGGUCUGUCGCGUCUGCUGUGAAAAUCCGGGGCUCAACCCCGGACUUGCAGUGGGUACGGGCAGACUAGAGUGUGGUAGGGGAGACUGGAAUUCCUGGUGUAGCGGUGAAAUGCGCAGAUAUCAGGAGGAACACCGAUGGCGAAGGCAGG